GGAAGGGAAUCAGUGGCGGUCCGCUGGCUGGUCUUCAAAACCAGUGAUGGGCGUUAAACGCUCGUGGUAGGUUCAACUCCUACUCCCUUCCGCCA
rnacentral:tRNA from 1 species